UGCGCAGGCGGGCUUGUAAGUCAGUGGUGAAAUACUGCCGCUCAACGGUAGAACUGCCAUUGAUACUGCAAGUCUUGAAUAUGGUUGAGGUAGGCGGAGUGUGUCGUGUAGCGGUGAAAUGCAUAGAUAUGACACAGAACGCCAAUUGCGAAGGCAGCUUACUAAGCCAUUAUUGACGCUGAGGCACGAAAGCGUGGGGAGCGAACAGGAUUAGAUACCCUGGUAGUCC
rnacentral:rRNA from 1 species